GCCGGGCGAGGUGGCGGGCGCCUGUAGUCCCGGCUACUCGGGAGGCUGAGGCAGGAGAAUGGCGGGAACCCGGGAGGCGGAGCUUGCAGUGAGCUGAGAUCCGGCCACAGCACUCCAGCCUGGGUGACAGAGCGAGACUCCGUCUCAAAAAAAAAAAAAAAAAAAAAAAAAAAAAAAGAGUCUCACUCUGUCGCCCAGGCUGGAGUGCAGUGGCGUGAUCUCGGCUCACUGCAAGCUCCGCCUCCCGGGUUCACGCCAUUCUCCUGCCUGAG
rnacentral:SRP_RNA from 1 species